UACGUAGGGUGCGAGCGUUGUCCGGAAUUAUUGGGCGUAAAGAGCUCGUAGGCGGUGUGUCACGUCGGCCGUGAAAACCUGGGGCUCAACUCUGGGCGUGCGGUCGAUACGGGCAUCACUUGAGUUCGGCAGGGGAGACUGGAAUUCCUGGUGUAGCGGUGAAAUGCGCAGAUAUCAGGAGGAACACCAGCGGCGAAGGCGGCGCUCUGGGCCGGUACUGACACUGAGGAGCGAAAGCGUGGGGAGCGAACAGG
rnacentral:rRNA from 1 species